UUUAACUUAUUAUCAUUUUAGAUUGGACCAGAUUUAAUAGCUCUGAUGAGGGACGAGGAACUACCUAAAUAUGUUCCUCUGCACGGGGAUAGACUGCGAAUCAGAAAAUUUCUGAGAGAUAGGGAGACUUCAAAGAAAAGAGGGAGACGAUCCACUAUCUUUCAAGUUCUCCGUGAAAAAAUAGAAAGCAGAGAAUCUUCAGGGUCAACAGACGGGGAAGCAUCGAUAGAAAACGAAGAUGACGAAGCAAGUCCACAACUAAGUGGUGAUAUGGAUACAGAUUCACUUCCCAAACUCAAUAUUUCAUCCAUACAACCAACAUCUCCGAAAAUUUCAGAAGAAACCCCUUUUAAUGAUAUAUUAUCAGAGGCUAUACAAAUAGCAGGAAUUGAAAACGAUCAGGAAUAUGGACUUGACGAUUUACCUGAUUUACUCGACACCCAUGCCGAAAACUUAAAUCAUUCAUUUGGAUUGGUUGAUAACCACGCAAACACUACAAAUGAUGAUACGGUAAAUUUUCAACCCACAGAACAUCUGCUGAAAUUACACAGAGGUCAAGUAAUGAGAGAAAUGAUCGAAGCUUUCGUAACAGAAAGUUACACACUGAAUAGCGUGAUCAAGCCUCAGAUGAUAAUGCCAAAUGGGGAAAUGGAGGUAGCGGAAGAUGCUGGGGGAGUAACCAGGGAUGUAUUAACUGAGUUUUGGACCUCGUUUUACACAUAA
rnacentral:sRNA from 1 species